rnacentral:rRNA from 1 species
GACGAACGCUGGCGGCGUGCCUAAUACAUGCAAGUCGAGCGGACUUGACAGAGCUUGCUCUGUUCAAGUCAGCGGCGGACGGGUGAGUAACACGUGGGUAACCUGCCUGUAAGACUGGGAUAACUCCGGGAAACCGGGGCUAAUACCGGAUAAUAUCAAGAGCUGCAUGGCUCUUGGUUGAAAGGCGGCUUCGGCUGUCACUUACAGAUGGACCCGCGGCGCAUUAGCUAGUUGGUGAGGUAACGGCUCACCAAGGCGACGAUGCGUAGCCGACCUGAGAGGGUGAUCGGCCACACUGGGACUGAGACACGGCCCAGACUCCUACGGGAGGCAGCAGUAGGGAAUCUUCCGCAAUGGACGAAAGUCUGACGGAGCAACGCCGCGUGAGUGAAGAAGGUUUUCGGAUCGUAAAACUCUGUUGUCAGGGAAGAACAAGUACGGGAGUAACUGCCCGUACCUUGACGGUACCUGGCCAGAAAGCCACGGCUAACUACGUGCCAGCAGCCGCGGUAAUACGUACGUGGCAAGCGUUGUCCGGAAUUAUUGGGCGUAAAGCGCGCGCAGGCGGCCUUUUAAGUCUGAUGUGAAAGCCCCCGGCUCAACCGGGGAGGGUCAUUGGAAACUGGAAGGCUUGAGUGCAGA